GGGGGUGUAGCUCAGUUGGGAGAGCGCCUGCCUUGCACGCAGGAGGCCAGCGGUUCGAGCCCGCUCAUCUCCACCA
rnacentral:tRNA from 1 species